ACUUUUCUCUCUCCUCUCCUUUUUCGCCUCCUCUCUCUUUUCGGUCUUCUCCUUCUCCCCCCCUCUUUUUUCACUCACCUCUCCCGAGGAGAAGCUUGUCGAGCAAGUCACCUUCCCUUCUCAAUUUCUCUCCACUCUCCCUUUUCCCUUUUCUAAUGCAUUCUCUCUCCCGCCAUGUCUUCUCCAGUUCUCCCUUCUCCUCCCUCCCUUUUUCUCUUUUGUAGACAUGGACAAAUUUGAAGUUUUGUUGGAGCGAGACUCAAAGUCUCUUGCAUUAAACCACUGUUUAUGAUAGUCUCUCUACACUCCAUAUAGCUACUGCAAGUGGUAAAGUCAGAGGUUAAUGGGGAAAGUUUUUCUUCGAUCUUGGAUCGAUCUGUUCACCCAAAUAUCUUGAAUCGUUAUUAAACAGGGAGGUUUGUUUGCUUUUGGUCCUGAAAUGUUUGAUCUUUUCUUUUGCUUUUAUUCCCCCCAACUGUUGAUUAUGGCGUAGAGGUACAGUUCAUUAGGAGUUUUCAUUUUCUCCUCCUUGCUAUGAUGGUUUUGGCUUUUGGUCAUGGUUAAGAUUUUGUUAUCUUUUCUAGGUCUUCUACUGCAUGAAUGGUUUUUUGGCUUUAGCAUUGAGUGGUAUUACUGUUAUGGGCCGAAUGGUUUCCUAGGUUUUUACUUUUGAUGCUUUUCAUUUUUUAAGUUUUUUUCUUACUUGUGCAUUUUUCCUUGUUGAUUUUUCGUUUCAGGUUUUUCUUUUGCUCAAUUGCCCUUACCUAUUCAGGUGUAACUUUGGAAAUUUUAUCAUUUGGCUCUUGGAAAUAGUAUUUUUUAGUCUUGUGUUACUAGAGGUUUAGAAUGAUUGAUUAUAUAUGUAGGUUUUAACUAUGUUAUAACCUUUCAAUUUUUCGAUUUAACUUUGAAUAAUGACUAAUUUAUUAAGAGUUUGGAUCUGCAUGCCAAGUGUAGUCAUUAGAUUGCAAAACCAUGAUACUGACAACGCCUGGUUUUCAAUUAUGGCAUCUUUCAUGGAAACUUUAAUUGCAGCUCCAUAACCCAUUGUUUCAGGUGCUUCUCCAGCCAAAGCCACAAGACGAGAAUGUGAAUGUGAACAUGGAUGGUGCACAAAAUGAUAUGGACAAAUCCUAUGUAUCUAUUGUCUACUGUACUGAACUCUUGUCGAUUUCUACAGUUGUUUUCUUUUUGGAUUUUUUUGUUUCCCAAAGGAGAGAGCAUUACACUAGGUUAUUAAUGUUGCGGUUCAACGGAGUCAAUUAGUAGCUCAGGUGUGGCAUUUCGCUAAAAUUUUGCAUUUGUUUUUUAUUAUUUUAUUAUUAUUAUUUUUUUUCUUGCUUGAAGGCAAAGUGUCUUGGAGGUAAUUAAUUGCUAGAGCUUGGUAGGUUUUAUCAAUUUAGUUUAGUGGCCUUAUAACAACCUCAAAAACGAUGAUGCAAUGCCUAAUUAGUAUGAAUUGCAAUGUUUCUAAACGGUUCUCUUGGCUAGCAUUGAUUCUUGGCCCUAAAGUUUGUAAGAAAAAUUAUUGCUUCCCAGCUACAACCAAUGAGUAACCGUGAAAGGUUGGUUUAAGUUGCAAGUUUGUGUGCACUUUUUCUUUUAUUUUCUUCUCUCUAAUCUCUUAUGUUCUUCUCAUUCUUGCAUCCUACUUGUCUUUUUUACUAGAUUAUAACCAUCUAAUAGUAUUUUAUUUAUGAGUUGCAAGUUUUUGUACACUUUUUCUUUGAUUUUAUUCUCUCUAAUUUGUUAUGUUCUUCUCAUUCUUGCAUCUUACUUCUUGUCUUUUUUACUAGAUAAUGACCUUUUUCUAAUAUGCACAUGAAAAAAUUAGGAUUUAUAGGUUUGUUACCUGAAUAUCACUGAGAAAAGUGGAUCCCAGGAUCUUCCAGGGGUGAGAUGCAAAAUUGAAUGGCUAAAAGUGUUGCCGCCUAAUUAAUGGUAAGGGUGCUUAAAAUUGUGCUUUAAAGAAAUGAACUUCUACAGAUUUAAAAAAAAAAUGUAUUGAAAGCUUACGUAAGAGGGAAAUUAACUUCUACUUAUUCUAUAAAUUUGCACUUGAUUCCAUGGGUGAGAUACACAACUAAAUGGCUAAAAAUGUGGAUCAUUUCUAUGGAAUUGUGCAAAACAGUUUUCAGAUUAUGAAGGAUUGGAUCAUUUUUAUGGAAUUAAUCACGACAAAUUUUAGUUUAGGAAGGAUUAUUUUAUUCAUUUUAGAUUAUGAAGUCAUAUUUACCUUUGGAGACCAACCGUGAAUCUUUUGUAGGGAUUAGAAUUUUAUUCUUUUUUGUUUGUACUAAACCAAAGCAAGUAUUUAUUUAUAUUCAAUGGAUACAAGAUUCAUUCAUGUUACCUAUUUUUCCUUUCCUUAAACAAAUGAGGAGUGGAUGCAUAGUGGAUUGAAGAAACACUAAAACAUGAUUAACAAGGUUGCAUUUCUUACAGGUAUUUUUCUUGUUCUUCUUCUACUACUGCUACUUUCAAACCCUGUUCCUUCCAUCUCUCUUUCUCUCUCUUUUAAUUUAAGGCAGCUAGGUUUUAUUUUCUAAUUCACCAUUUUCCAUUUCUUAAACUCACUGUAUGGACCAUUUUUAUGCAGGAGAGGCAGUGCCUGCUGGCACCAAAUAUUCUCAAGUGGAACCAUGACUGGUUUGGUUUUUAUUGAAGAUGGAAGAUGAUCAGUUGGGACAACCGCAAGUUUGAUUCUCUGUCCUGGCGUUUAAUCACAAAUAAUUAGUCAUGGUGUUGAGAGACGAAAUUGUCCAUUGAAGAGAAAUGUCUGCUAUACAAAGCGAUUCAAAUAGCUUACCUCAAGUGGAAGAUGUUAACUUGUUUAUGUAAAGAACACGUUUUUUUUUUCUUAUUUUGUAAGAAGCAUAUAGGUCGAAACUUUUCAACUUGGG